rnacentral:tRNA from 1 species
CAAAGCAUAGCUUAGAUUUAAGCAUCUAGUCUACACCCAGAAGAUUUCACAAUAAGUGAAUGCCUUGA